UGGCGUUGAUUUUUCCCUAAAUUUCCCCCCUAAAACCCAAAAAUGAAAAAAUCCCACAUUUCCCUCUAAAAUGGAGGCACGAAAGACGAUUCAUCUUCUUUGAUGAGAGUAGCAGUGUGAGGAAUGGGAAUUCAUCUUCUCAUUUGUUGAAACCUGAAUCCAGAGAGAUAUUGAAUUUUGGUGAGAGUAAAAGAAGUGGGAAUGGGAAUUUGUUCACAGGAAACUCUCCGUUCUUCGUGGAGAACAAGAAGAGGUCGCCUAAUUCAAAAGGGAGCAACGAAGAAGAGGUCGCCUGAUAGAAUUGCUUGAGAAGCUGUUAAAAGAUCAUGCUCGAAAAUAUAUGACUGGAGAUGAAGUUUCCAUGGCAGAUCUGUUUCUAGCACCACAGAUUCUGGCUGGGAUUGAACGAUUCAAUGUUGACGUGGUAAUCUGCUUAUUCCAUUAACUACUAGUUUCUGCAUCCAAUUGAUAUUUGUUCACUUUUAACUCAUUUGAAGUUGCCAUUCCUCUCCUCACACUCAAACGCAGGCAUGUAUUCUUGGCUUUUCUAUUUGCUCUUAUGCUUCUGAAAUUUUUGUGAGUUAGAGGGAGAAAUAUUGCUUCAUAUAUCACCAUCCUCCUAAGAUUUUUCAAUGACACCAAAUAAAUUUUUUCAGCUCUUGACUCAGGUUUCUUUUUUACUUGGACUUGUACACACACUUACAUCACAUUAUGCAAAAGACACAUAUAUCACAAAAUUACUCUCUUUCUUAACAAAAAUUUUGGGUCAAACCCGGGCUCUGCAGUUAAGCAGUCUUAAUGGGGAGUUGUGUAUCAGCACCUGCUGAAAGAAUCAAGAAUUUGAGAAGGCCCCAUCGUCGAUUCCGAAAACACCGCAGGAAGGUUUCCCGUUCCAUCACAGAUGGAACCAAGAAAAGGAAUAGUGAUGCUCAUGUAACAGAUAGAGCUGUUAGUGAAUAUUUACAUAUGGAGAAUGGUGCAACCACUACUCGUAGAAGAUCGGAGGUUUCGAGCUCAACAUUCAAUUUCACUCAAUUUCAGUGGCAUCUUAGUCAAAUUGAUACAAAUGCUUGCUAAGAGGAUCUUUGGUUUGAUUCAAUUAGUAUUCUUGAAUCUGAUUCGGGCGAUGAUUUCCUCAGCAUUCAUGGAGUAUGCACAGACAAGGGGAAGAUUUAGUCAUCAACUUAAGGGAACUAGAUAUGAGGGCAAGGAAUUGAAAGAUUUGGCGAUCCACCAAGAAUGAGAUACAUGCAUUUCUCUAUGUGGAUGGGUAACCUAUAUCUUUGAUUUGAGGCAUAGUUUGAUGACAGCAUAACUUAUUGCUGAAGUUAUACAGCCACGUUGUUUGUAUUGCUGAAGUUAUACAGCCACGUUGUUUGCAUGCUGAUUACCAGUUUUGACGUUUAAGAUUUCAGAAUUGAGAUGGAUUUCCAGCUUGGAGGAUGUACAGAGCCUGGAGAAGGUUAUGAUAAAUAAUGUGCUUGUUGUUGCACUUAUAUUAAAUAUUGUACCCUUUUUUGCGAAAUUGUUGUCUUUUGAAAUAUCUUUAAGAUUAAGGAACUAUACUAAAUGCGGUCAGAACUUAUGUAAUUCUAAUAUAGAAUGUAAACAAUUUUCUUAUGUAAUUCUAAUAUAGAAUGUAUCUUGUUUUAAUUUUCUUAA